CCAGACUCCUACGGGAGGCAGCAGUGAGGAAUAUUGGUCAAUGGGCUUACGCCUGAACCAGCCAAGUCGCGUGAGGGAAGAAUGUCCUAUGGAUUGUAAACCUCUUUUGUCAGGGAGCAAAGUCACCCACGUGUGGGUGUUGGAGAGUACCUGAAGAAAAAGCAUCGGCUAACUCCGUGCCAGCAGCCGCGGUAAUACGGAGGAUCCGAGCGUUAUCCGGAUUUAUUGGGUUUAAAGGGUGCGUAGGCGGUUUGAUAAGUUAGAGGUGAAAUGUCGGGGCUCAACCCCGAAACUGCCUCUAAUACUGUUGGACUAGAGAAUAGUUGCGGUAGGCGGAAUGUAUGGUGUAGCGGUGAAAUGCUUAGAGAUCAUACAGAACACCGAUUGCGAAGGCAGCUUACCAAACUAUAUCUGACGUUGAGGCACGAAAGCGUGGGUAGCAAACAGGAUUAGAUACCCCAGUA
rnacentral:rRNA from 1 species